GGGUUAGUAGGUUGGUCAUGCCUCUGGUAUGUACUGGUCUCACUGAUUCCUCCUUUCUGACGAACUAUAAUGCCAUUAAUUUGGUGUUAUAGGGAAUCAGGACUGUUACUUUGAAAAAAUUAGAGUGUUUAAAGCAGGCUCACGCUUGAAUACAUUAGCAUGGAAUAACGGAAUAGGACGUUUGAUUCUAUUUUGUUGGUUUCUAGGAUCGACGUA
rnacentral:rRNA from 1 species